rnacentral:rRNA from 1 species
CCUACGGGUGGCAGCAGUGAGGAAUAUUGGUCAAUGGUCGCGAGCCUGAACCAGCCAAGUAGCGUGAAGGAUGACUGCCCUGCGGGUUGUAAACUUCUUUUAUAAAGGAAUAAAGUGAGGCACGUGUCCCUUUUUGUAUGUACUUUAUGAAUAAGGAUCGGCUAACUCCGUGCCAGCAGCCGCGGUAAUACGGAGGAUCCGAGCGUUAUCCGGAUUUAUUGGGUUUAAAGGGAGCGUAGAUGGGUUGUUAAGUCAGUUGUGAAAGUUUGCGGCUCAACCGUAAAAUUGCAUUUGAUACUGGCAGCCUCGAGUAGAGUUGAGGUAUGCGGAAUGCGUGGUGUAGCGGUGAAAUGCAUAGAUAUCGCGCAGAACUCCGAUUGCGAAGGCAGCAUACCAACCUCCCACUGACAUUGAUGCUCGAAAGUGUGGGUAUCAAACAGGAUUAGAUACCCCAGUAGUC